rnacentral:rRNA from 1 species
GACGAACGCUGGCGGCGUGCCUAAUACAUGCAAGUCGAACGAGAGCGACCGGUGCUUGCACUGGUCAAUCUAGUGGCGAACGGGUGAGUAACACGUGGGUAACCUGCUCAUCAGAGGGGGAUAACAUCCGGAAACGGAUGCUAAAACCGCAUAGGUCUUCGAGCCGCAUGGCUUGAAGAGGAAAAGAGGCGCAAGCUUCUGCUGAUGGAUGGACCCGCGGUGCAUUAGCUAGUUGGUGAGGUAACGGCUCACCAAGGCCGUGAUGCAUAGCCGACCUGAGGGGGUGAUCGGCCACAUUGGGACUGAGACACGGCCCAAACUCCUACGGGAGGCAGCAGUAGGGAAUCUUCCGCAAAGGACGCAAGUCUGACGGAGCAACGCCGCGUGAGUGAAGAAGGUUUUCGGAUCGUAAAACUCUGUUGUUAGAGAAGAACAAGUGCUAGAGUAACUGUUAGCGCCUUGACGGUAUCUAACCAGAAAGCCACGGCUAACUACGUG